AUUGAACGCUGGCGGCAUGCUUUACACAUGCAAGUCGAACGGUAACAGGCCUUCGGGUGCUGACGAGUGGCGAACGGGUGCGUAAUGCAUCGGAACGUACCCAGAGGUGGGGGAUAACGCAGCGAAAGCUGUGCUAAUACCGCAUGUGAUCUGAGGAUGAAAGCGGGGGACCGAGCAGCAAUGUUUGGCCUCGCGCCUUUGGAGCGGCCGAUGUCGGAUUAGCUAGUUGGUGGGGUAAAGGCCUACCAAGGCGACGAUCCGUAGCUGGUCUGAGAGGACGACCAGCCACACUGGGACUGAGACACGGCCCAGACUCCUACGGGAGGCAGCAGUGGGGAAUUUUGGACAAUGGGCGCAAGCCUGAUCCAGCAAUGCCGCGUGCGGGAAGAAGGCCUUCGGGUUGUAAACCGCUUUUGGCAGGAACGAAACGGUGUCCGCUAAUACCGGGCGCUAAUGACGGUACCUGCAGAAUAAGCACCGUCUAACUACGUG
rnacentral:rRNA from 1 species